rnacentral:piRNA from 1 species
ACUUAACACAUCGGGGGCGCGCGUGAC